rnacentral:tRNA from 1 species
CUAGCAUAGCACCUCCCUUACACCGAGAAGAUACCCGUGCAAAUCGGGUCGCACUGACUAGCCCUCCCAACAGCUAG